GUGACUGCGGAGGAUCAUUACAUGAACAACUUGAGAGGGAAAAGAACUCUAAAAGGCGUGGGGUAGCCGCCUAGUCACAAUUCAGCCCCCGGGUCCGGGGGGGGUCUACACUCUAGCGUCGGGGAGCUCGCGUCGACGGCUCCCGCCCCCCUACUGCCAAACGGCGAUUUCCAAACCCAACCCUCUGCGUACACAUCCCUGUUGCUUCCCCGGGGACCGCCCCGGGGAAGGGCCCCGAGCAAACGAUGCCGCCCAACCAACCGGCGGCCCCCCUCCGUCUGAAGGCCAGCGUGCCACGGAAGAAGUAACAAGUGAGCAAACAAACAAAAACUUUCAACAACGGAUCUCUUGGUUCCCGCAUCGAUGAAGAACGCAGCGAAAUGCGAUAAGUAAUGUGAAUUGCAGAAUUCAGUGAAUCAUCGAAUCUUUGAACGCACAUUGCGCCCCCUGGCAUUCCGGGGGGCAUGCCUGUUCGAGCGUCUCCUUGACGAAUCCUCGCGCCAGUGAAGGGCGCGGUCGUGGCGGCGGUGGCGUGCCGGACAGCGGCGGCCACCGGGCUGGAAUCCAUGGGCGGACGCCUGCCGCGUGGCCGAGCGUGAUAUGUUUCACUGGACGCUCGCGCGCGGCGAGGCUGCCAGCCCAGGCCCGUUCGUCGGGCGGGGCAGAGCGAGACAUUUGGAACUCCUCGAAUCAGGUAGGGAUACCCGCUGAACUUAAGCAUAUC
rnacentral:sRNA from 1 species